rnacentral:rRNA from 1 species
GACGAACGCUGGCGGCGUGCUUAACACAUGCAAGUCGAACGGGCCCGCCCCUGUUUUUGGGGGUGGGUUGAGUGGCGAACGGGUGAGUAUCACGUGAGUAACCUGCCCCCUGCUACUGGAUAACUGCUUGAAAGGGCGGCUAAUACGGGGUGUGCCGGCUGGUCCGCAUGGGCCUGGUCGGGAUAGUUUCAUCUUCGGGUGUUUCGGUGGGGGAUGGGCUCGCGGCCUAUCAGCUUGUUGGUGGGGUGAUGGCCCACCAAGGCGGUGACGGGUAGCCGGCCUGAGAGGGUGGGCGGCCACACUGGGACUGAGACACGGCCCAGACUCCUGCGGGAGGCAGCAGUGGGGGGUAUUGCACAAUGGGCGGAAGCCUGAUGCAGCGACGUCGCGUGAGGGAUGGAGGCCUUCGGGUUGUGAACCUCUUUCUCCGGUGGUGAAGGCCCUGUCCGUUGCGGCGGGGUUGACGGUAGCCGGGUAUGAAGCGCCGGCUAACUACGUG